GAACCUCGUUAAAUGCUGUGUCUCAUCUACUUUACGUGCAGCUCAAUAUUCAUACAUAUUCCAACUUAUGAGUCGUUUGGACCUCAAGACACAGAAGACGUUUUUCCAAGGAAGGUGUUAGAAUGGAUUAUAUCCAUUCACAAAUAGCGGGGGAUUUUCCAAUCAAUCUUUUUCUGCUUUCAUAGGAACUCGUGUCUCAAUUCAAAAAUGGCAUUCUCUCCAAGGCCAUCCAGCUAGUGAAAUAAUAAAGAAUUUGAUUUCAAAUAAUAAAGUGCCAAUUAGUGGCUCCUCUCAUGUACCUUUUUGUUCUUCAUGUCCUUUAGGUAAAAGCACUAAAUUACCAUUUCCAAUUUCA